GACGAACGCUGGCGGCGUGCUUAACACAUGCAAGUCGAACGAUGAUGGGGUGCUUGCACCUUGGAUUAGUGGCGAACGGGUGAGUAACACGUGGGUGAUCUGCCUCGUACUUUGGGAUAAGCCUGGGAAACUGGGUCUAAUACCGGAUAUGACUUUUUCCUGCAUGGGGAUUGGUUGAAAGGGUUUCUGGUACGGGAUGGGCCCGCGGCCUAUCAGUUUGUUGGUGGGGUAAUGGCCUACCAAGACUACGACGGGUAGCCGGCCUGAGAGGGUGAUCGGCCACACUGGGACUGAGACACGGCCCAGACUCCUACGGGAGGCAGCAGUGGGGAAUAUUGCACAAUGGGCGCAAGCCUGAUGCAGCGACGCCGCGUGCAGGAUGACGGCCUUCGGGUUGUAAACUGCUUUCAGUAGGGACGAAGCGUGAGUGACGGUACCUACAGAAGAAGCACCGGCCAACUACGUGCCAGCCGCCGCCGUAAAAC
rnacentral:rRNA from 1 species